GACGAACGCUGGCGGCGGGCUUAACACAUGCAAGUCGAACGGAAAGGCCCUGCUUUUGUGUGGUUCUCGAGUGGCGAGCGGGUGAGUAACACGUGAGUAUCCUGCGCUGUACGUGGGGACAACUUCAGGAAGCUGGGGCUAAUACCUGAGAGGUGCUCCUGCUGCAGGGGGGGGGUCGGAAAGUUUCGGCGGAGGUGGCUGUACGUGCGGCUUACUAGCUUGUGGGGUGGGGAGUUGCUUACCCAGGGUUCGAUGGGUAGUCGGCAUGGGAGGGUGACCGGCCACAAUGGGACUGAGAUACGGCCCAGACUCCUACGGGAGGCAGCAGUGGGGAAUAUUGCACAAUGGGCGGAAGCCUGAUGAAGAAACGCCGCGUGCGGGAUGACGGCCUUCGGGUUGUAAACCGCUGUCGCCUGUGACGAAGCGUGAGUGACGGUAAUGGGUAAAGAAGCACCGGCUAACUACGUG
rnacentral:rRNA from 1 species